rnacentral:rRNA from 1 species
UACGAAGGGGGCGAGCGUUGUUCGGAUUUACUGGGCGUAAAGGGCGCGCAGGCGGCGGAUCAAGUCAGAUGUGAAAGCCCCGGGCUUAACCUGGGAACUGCAUUUGGGACUGGUUUGCUAGAGAUCGGGAGAGGAGAGUGGAAUUCCCAGUGUAGAGGUGAAAUUCGUAGAUAUUGGGAAGAACACCGGUGGCGAAGGCGGCGACCUGGUCCUUGACUGACGCUGAGGCGCGAAAGCGUGGGGAGCAAACAGG